UCGCACGGGUGUAGCAAUACACCAGUGGGCGGACGGGUGAGUAAUGAAUCGCUAACGUGCCCCGGACUCUGGGAUAGCCAGCCGAAAGGCUGGGUAAUACCAGAUGACAUCACUUUCAGGCAUCUGAAGGUGCUCAAAGGUCCGCCGGUCUGGGAGCGGGCGAUUUCGUAUCAGCUAGUUGGUGAGGUAACGGCUCACCAAGGCGACGACGCGUAGCCGGACUGAGAGGUUGGCCGGCCACAUCGGGACUGAGACACUGCCCGGACUCCUACGGGGGGCUGCAGUAACGAAUCUUCCCCAAUGCACGCAAGUGUGAGGGAGCGACGCCGCGUGGAGGAUGAAGUCCUUCGGGAUGUAAACUCCUGUCAGGGGUUACCAAGUUCUGAGGAGCCCCAGAGGAAGAGGCGGCUAACUCUGUGCCAGCAGCCGCGGUAAGACAGAGGCCUCGAGCGUUA
rnacentral:rRNA from 1 species